rnacentral:rRNA from 1 species
UAUAGGUUAAGUUAAUAAGGGCGCAUGGUGAAUGCCUUGGUACUAGGAGCCGAUGAAGGACGCAACUAACUGCGAUAAGCUUCGGGGAGCUGUACGUAAGCUUUGAUCCGGAGAUUUCCGAAUGAGAAAACUCGGCCAGUGUUAUGACUGGUCACUGCAUAGUGAAUACAUAGCUAUGCAGAGGCAGACGUGGGGAACUGAAACAUCUAAGUACCCACAGGAAUAUAAAGAAAU